rnacentral:rRNA from 1 species
UACGGGGCGCAGCAGGCGCGAAAACUUUACAAUGCGGGCAACCGUGAUAAGGGAACCUCGAGUGCCUGUAUAUGCAGGCUGUCCAGGUGUCUAAAAAACACCUGAAGA